UACGGGGGGGGCAAGCGUUGUUCGGAAUUACUGGGCGUAAAGGGCACGUAGGCGGCUCGGCAAAUCGGUCGUGGAAUCCCGACGCUUACCGUCGGAACGGCGGCCGAAAAUACCGGGCUCGAGGGCGUGAGGGGUCACUGGAACUCCUGGUGAAGCGGUGAAAUGCGUAGAUAUCAGGAGGAACGCCGGAGGCGAAAGCGAGUGACUGGCGCGUUCCUGACGCUGAGGUGCGAAAGCUAGGGGAGCAAACAGG
rnacentral:rRNA from 1 species